rnacentral:rRNA from 1 species
GACGAACGCUGGCGGCGUGCCUAAUACAUGCAAGUCGUGCGGACCUUGUUGAAAGCUUGCUUUUAAAAGGUUAGCGGCGGACGGGUGAGUAACACGUGGGCAACCUGCCUGUAAGACUGGGAUAACGCCGGGAAACCGGGGCUAAUACCAGAUCGUUUUUUCCUCCGCAUGGAGGAAAAAGGAAAGGCGGCUUCGGCUGCCACUUACAGAUGGGCCCGCGGCGCAUUAGCUAGUUGGCGGGGUAAUGGCCCACCAAGGCCACGAUGCCUAGCCGACCUGAGAGGGUGGUCGGCCACAUUGGGACUGAGACACGGCCCAAACUCCUACGGGAGGCAGCAGUAGGGAAUCUUCCGCAAUGGACGAAAGUCUGACGGAGCAACGCCGCGUGAGUGAAGAAGGCCUUCGGGUCGUAAAACUCUGUUGCCGGGGAAGAACAAGUGCCGUUCGAACAGGGCGGCGCCUUGACGGUACCCGGCCAGAAAGCCACGGCUAACUACGUG